AACGAACGCUGGCGGCAGGCCUAACACAUGCAAGUCGAACGCCGUAGCAAUACGGAGUGGCAGACGGGUGCGUAACACGUGGGAACAUACCCUUUGGUUCGGAAUAACUCAGGGAAACUUGAGCUAAUACCGGAUAAGCCCUUACGGGGAAAGAUUUAUCGCCAAAGGAUUGGCCCGCGUCUGAUUAGCUAGUUGGUGAGGUAACGGCUCACCAAGGCGACGAUCAGUAGCUGGUCGAGAGGAUGAUCAGCCACACUGGGACUGAGACACGGCCCAGACUCCUACGGGAGGCAGCAGUGGGGAAUAUUGGACAAUGGGCGCAAGCCUGAUCCAGCCAUGCCGCGUGAGUGAUGAAGGCCUUAGGGUUGUAAAGCUCUUUUACCCGGGAAGAUAAUGACGGUACCGGGAGAAUAAGCCCCCGGCUAACUUCGUGCCAGCCG
rnacentral:rRNA from 1 species